rnacentral:ncRNA from 1 species
AUGCAAGUCGAUUGGUAAGUGGUGUUUCCAUAGGCGCAUGAGUGAGUAACGCACAAGAACUUACCUUUGGGAUGGAACAACAAGUGGAAACGGUUGUUCCAUAGCCCAUGGACCGAGGACCAAAAGAAGAAAUCAGCCCAGGCAACUGAGGCAAGGCUUACAUUAAUUAGCUAGUUGGUGAAGCAAUAGUUACCUUGACAAUGAUUAGUACUAGCUGGUCGAAGAGGAUGAUCAACCACACUGGAAUUAAGACACGACCCAGACUCCUAUGGGACAUGGGA